rnacentral:rRNA from 1 species
GAUGAACGCUAGCUACAGGCUUAACACAUGCAAGUCGAGGGGCAGCAUUUUAGUUUGCUUGCAAACUGAAGAUGGCGACCGGCGCACGGGUGAGUAACACGUAUCCAACCUGCCGAUAACUCCGGGAUAGCCUUUCGAAAGAAAGAUUAAUACCGGAUAGUAUACGAAUAUCGCAUGAUAUUUUUAUUAAAGAAUUUCGGUUAUCGAUGGGGAUGCGUUCCAUUAGUUUGUUGGCGGGGUAACGGCCCACCAAGGCUACGAUGGAUAGGGGUUCUGAGAGGAAGGUCCCCCACAUUGGAACUGAGACACGGUCCAAACUCCUACGGGAGGCAGCAGUGAGGAAUAUUGGUCAAUGGGCGCGAGCCUGAACCAGCCAAGUAGCGUGAAGGAUGAAGGCUCUAUGGGUCGUAAACUUCUUUUAUAUGGGAAUAAAGUUUUCCACGUGUGGAAUUUUGUAUGUACCAUAUGAAUAAGGAUCGGCUAACUCCGUGCCAGCAGCCGCGGUAAUACGGAGGAUCCGAGCGUUAUCCGGAUUUAUUGGGUUUAAAGGGAGCGUAGGUGGAUUGUUAAGUCAGUUGUGAAAGUUUGCGGCUCAACCGUAAAAUUGCAGUUGAAACUGGCAGUCUUGAGUACAGUAGAGGUGGGCGGAAUUCGUGGUGUAGCGGUGAAAUGCUUAGAUAUCACGAAGAACUCCGAUUGCGAAGGCAGCUCACUAGACUGUCACUGACACUGAUGCUCGAAAGUGUGGGUAUCAAACAGGAUUAGAUACCCUGGUAGUCCACACAGUAAACGAUGAAUACUCGCUGUUUGCGAUAUACAGUAAGCGGCCAAGCGAAAGCAUUAAGUAUUCCACCUGGGGAGUACGCCGGCAACGGUGAAACUCAAAGGAAUUGACGGGGGCCCGCACAAGCGGAGGAACAUGUGGUUUAAUUCGAUGAUACGCGAGGAACCUUACCCGGGCUUAAAUUGCAACAGAAUAUAUUGGAAACAGUAUAGCCGUAAGGCUGUUGUGAAGGUGCUGCAUGGUUGUCGUCAGCUCGUGCCGUGAGGUGUCGGCUUAAGUGCCAUAACGAGCGCAACCCUUAUCUUUAGUUACUAACAGGUUAUGCUGAGGACUCUAGAGAGACUGCCGUCGUAAGAUGUGAGGAAGGUGGGGAUGACGUCAAAUCAGCACGGCCCUUACGUCCGGGGCUACACACGUGUUACAAUGGGGGGUACAGAAGGCGGCUACCUGGUGACAGGAUGCUAAUCCCAAAAACCUCUCUCAGUUCGGAUCGAAGUCUGCAACCCGACUUCGUGAAGCUGGAUUCGCUAGUAAUCGCGCAUCAGCCAUGGCGCGGUGAAUACGUUCCCGGGCCU